rnacentral:misc_RNA from 1 species
AACGCAUAUUGCACCCCCUGGCAUUCCGGGGGGUACACCUGUUCGAGCGCCAUUUCAUACUUCAAGUUUGACUUGGUGUUGGGGGGUCAUCCGGUGGGAUGCCCCCUAAACUUUUAGGCCACCCCCCUAAUUUAGGGCGUCGCGAAAUUAAUUUGUCGCUAAAAAUGACGGGGGGUGUGUCAAAAAUUAGUGGGAAAUUCACUUUUUUGGGAAACACACACUAAAAUUUAGUGGGAAACUUGUUAAUUUUAGCGGGUUCCCCCUAUUUUUUAUUUUGUGACCCCCUAAUUUAGUGGGUACCCCUUAAAUAUUGAAAACUUAUAGAGGGUAACCCCCUAAAUAGUCUUCGAAUUUACUGGGUACCCCCCUAAUUUUCUAAGUUUGGCCUCGGAUCAGGUGGGGAUACCCGCUGAACUUAA